rnacentral:rRNA from 1 species
AACGCUGAAAGCAUCUAAGCGUGAAGCCCACCCUAAGAUGAGAUUUCCCAUGACGUAAGUCAAUAAGAUCCCUUGAAGAACACAAGGUUGAUAGGUCAGAGGUGUAAGUGCAGCAAUGUAUUUAGCUAACUGAUACUAAUAGAUCGAAGGCUUGAUCAAAUU